rnacentral:rRNA from 1 species
AUACGAAAGGUGCAAGCGUUGUUCGGAUUUACUGGGCGUAAAGAGAGUGUAGGUGGUUUAUUAAGUCGGAUGUGAAAUCCCGGGGCUCAACCUCGGAACUGCAUUCGAUACUGAUAGGCUAGAGUUUGGGAGGGGUAAGCGGAAUUCCGUGCGUAGCAGUGAAAUGCGUAGAUAUACGGAGGAACACCUGAGGCGAAGGCGGCUUACUGGACCAAUACUGACACUGAGACUCGAAAGCGUGGGUAGCAAACAGGAUUAGAAACCCUAGUAGUCC